UNGGACAAUGAGCAGGGAAUGAGAUGGC
rnacentral:piRNA from 1 species